rnacentral:rRNA from 1 species
GACAGAGGUGCCAAGCGUUAGGCGGAAUCACUGGGCUUAAAGCGUGUGUAGGCGGACCUGUAAGUGCCUUGUGAAAUCCCAUGGCUCAACCAUGGAACGGCUGGGCAUACUGCGGGUCUUGAGCUGUCUAGGGGCAACCGGAACAAACGGUGGAGCGGUGAAAUGCGUAGAUAUCGCUUGGAACGCCGAAGGUGAAAACAGGCUGCUGGGGUUGCGCCGACGCUGAGACACGAAAGCCAGGGGAGCAAACGGG